GGGGGCGUAAAGGUUUCGACGGGGAUCCUGAAGUGUGAUAAGCGAGCGGAGCUGCGGUGUAACCUCCUUAAACUGCGCCACGUUUAAAUAUAAACGCAAGAAAAAAUAUCACAGUUACUAGAAAUAGUGCACUGGUAGCAGCUUAAGUCUGCUUCUGUCCUCCAUUAGAGUACCGUGGCUUUUGGUUGGGCAUCGACUAACGGUGAACGAUUCUCUGGCGUGUCCGUGCCUCUGAAUUGUAUUCGGACUACCUGCUCUCUCUGCCCGUUCAUCGGCAGCCUUUGCAGGGAAUCUCAAUAGGUGAACUACGCUCGUAGAAAGUUGCAUGAACGGGUUUUCGGACAGGGGUUCAAUUCCCCUCGCCUCCACCA
rnacentral:tmRNA from 1 species